CUUGGCCUUUGUUGACAUCACUGAUACACAUCCACUGUCCAUCAACUGAUUCCUUCCACAGAGUAACCUGAAAGCAAAAGGCCUCAUCAUCACAAGCUGUGAAGUCCCAGUCUGGCCAUGUCACCCCUGAGGAAGAAGCUCCAGUGGCUCCAUCUUGUCUGUUGGACAUGAGAUGAACUCUCCUGUGGGGCAUUUAAAGCCCUCUGUAGUGUGGCUUCAACCUUUGGAUUAGGCCCGUACUUCCCCCCAACUCACCCCAUGGUUCAGUUGGGCUGAUCAUUUGCUAUUCUUCAUGUUUUUGGUUCAAGUCUCUUCCUCUUUCCUCCCUGGCACCUUUGUGAGCCCUACCUCUCUUCAAAGCUCGAUUUAAGUGUUACCACCUUCUGAAGAUCUUUCCUGCUUCCUCCAUUUGUUAAUGUGCUCUUCCUUGUAAAAGGACUUUUAAGAUUCUGCAUUUAUUCACCUGGAUAAAUCCUGUUCUCCUGCCCCUCACUCUCACAAGGACUGUCAGCUUUUUGUUCCUAUCCCUAGCUCAAAGCAAUGCACACACAGUAGCACUUGAUAAAAUACUUGUUGAAUUUAAUCAAGAACAUGGCACAAGGAAGGAAGCAGAACUAAGAAAACAAUGUUGCACAAUAAUGUCUUUCUGAAAUUCAGAGUGUAUGUUCUCCUACUCAAUAAUUCUGCACUUGGUAUCUGGUACACAGAGAUGCUUAAUACAUGUUCAUGUGACUCCACAAAAUGACCUGCAAGGGCUCUCCACAUACAAAAGAAAGUCCGUCUAUUUGGGUGAAAGGUGGCCUGGAACCAGGGAGAAAAGGGAGCCAGGGAGGCCCUCGUCCAGGCUCAUGGUGCCACAAGCCUGUCUUGGGAAGUGGAGGGGAGGGAAGGAGAGAGAGUGACUGGUACAGAACCAGGGAGAAGUGGCAAUCUCCAGGAGAGACCGAUCCAAGAGAGGGACAGUCUGCGGUACCAGUGACCUAAACAAAAAAGCAGAGGUAGGAGUCUGGAUCUUUGUGGUAGAGAGGGACAGUGUGAGCUCAGGAGAGAAGCCAGAGCUGCCCAGGAGUAGGACCACUUGUUGUGCAUGAGAACUGAUGGGACUGUCGGGCACCAACACGAGCCAGGCUGGGGCAUGAGGAGAGGGCGAGAAGGGGACGAGGCUGUGGGCUGCACCACGAGAAUGGAGGGAGAAGAGGAGGCUGAGGACAGAGUGUGGAGAUCUUGAGUUCGGGGCUGGGAAGAUAAGGAGCCAGUGUAAAAAAAGGACCAUGUGUGAGAGGCAGGAAAGUAGUCUUUAUAAAGCCCAGGGUAGAAACCAUUCAGAGGAGGGGGUGGUCAACAGUGUCGAGUGCUACAGAGGUCUAGGAGGACAAGGGCUUAAAGAUGGCAGAUCUUAAAAAUAACUUUGUUCCACUAAAAGUUAUUGAGAAGAUCAUUUGGUUUUUUAAAUGAAUGUUUCCAUGCUGGUUUCAGUAACAGACAUCUGAGGUUUGACCCAGCUGAAGACCUACUUCUGCAUAGCCUGCCCCAAUUUUUCUGAUCUGCAGCUACCACGCUACUCUGACCAGAGAAGUGGAUCAACAGCACUCAUGCUAGCACCAAGUCACAGUCUGUCUGGUAUUAAUCUUUAACUGCCUCAUGUACGUAUGGCGUGGCUUCUUGAGAAUGUGAGCUCAAUGAGCAGGAAGCACAUUAUAUGUUGUAUGUAUAAUAAUACUUCGGUGUUUCUCACCUUGGAUACAGAGAAUAUGCACAAUUAAGGCUUUAAUAAAGUUAAAAAUUUGCCUUCUCA